AGAGUUUGAUCCUGGCUCAGGACGAACGCUGGCGGCGCGCUUCACACAUGCAAGUCGAACGGAAAGGCCCGCUUGCGGGUACUCGAGUGGCGAACGGGUGAGUAACACGUGAGUAAUCUGCCUCUAGCUUUGGGAUAAGCCUCGGAAACGGGGUCUAAUACCGGAUAUGACCUGGCCCUGCAUGGGGUUGGGUGGAAAGUUUUUCGGCUGGAGAUGAGCUCGCGGACUAUCAGCUUGUUGGUGAGGUAAUGGCUCACCAAGGCUUUGACGGAUAGCCGGCCUGAGAGGGCGACCGGCCACACUGGGACUGAGACACGGCCCAGACUCCUACGGGAGGCAGCAGUGGGGAAUAUUGCACAAUGGGCGAAAGCCUGAUGCAGCGACGCCGCGUGAGGGAUGACGGCCUUCGGGUUGUAAACCUCUUUCAGUACCGACGAAGUGAGAAUGACGGUAGGUACAGAAGAAGCGCCGGCUAACUACGUGCCAGCAGCCGCGGUA
rnacentral:rRNA from 1 species